AGCGAACGCUGGCGGCAGGCCUAACACAUGCAAGUCGAACGAUCCUUCGGGAUAGUGGCGGACGGGUGAGUAACACGUGGGAACGUGCCCUUUGGUUCGGAAUAACUCAGGGAAACUUGAGCUAAUACCGGAUGUGCCCUUCGGGGGAAAGAUUUAUCGCCAUUGGAGCGGCCCGCGUUGGAUUAGCUAGUUGGUGGGGUAAAGGCCCACCAAGGCUACGAUCCAUAGCUGGUCUGAGAGGAUGAUCAGCCACACUGGGACUGAGACACGGCCCAGACUCCUACGGGAGGCAGCAGUGGGGAAUCUUGCGCAAUGGGCGAAAGCCUGACGCAGCCAUGCCGCGUGAAUGAUGAAGGUCUUAGGAUUGUAAAAUUCUUUCACCGGGGACGAUAAUGACGGUACCCGGAGAAGGAGCCCCGGCUAACUUCGUGCCAGCCGCCGCCGUAAUAC
rnacentral:rRNA from 1 species